rnacentral:misc_RNA from 1 species
UCUCCGUUGGUGAACCAGCGGAGGGAUCAUUACCGAGUUUACAACUCCCAAACCCCAUGUGAACCUUACCAAACGUUGCUUCGGCGGGAUGCCCCGGGCGCGGGCCGCAAGGCCUCAGUCCCGGAACCAGGCGCCCGCCGGAGGCCCAAACCAAACUCUUGUUUUUGUAGAAUCUUCUGAGUGGCCUUUUAGGCAAAAAAUGAAUCAAAACUUUCAACAACGGAUCUCUUGGUUCUG